CUAUAUCCUGUCUAUCAGGUGUCCUGUCCUGUGUAGUCUAUCAGGUGUCCUGUCCUGUGUAGUCUAUAUCCUGUCUAUCAGGUGUCCUGUCCUGUGUAGUCUAUAUCCUGUCUAUCAGGUGUCCUGUCCUGUGUAGUCUAUAUCCUGUCUAUCAGGUGUCCUGUCCUGUGUAGUCUAUCAGGUGUCCUGUUCCAUGUAGUCUAUAUCCUGUCUAUCAUUCCAAAGGAGUUACAUAUUGUAUAUAUAUUUCACAUUAGUUUGCUGGUAAAAGUUGAAUAUAUUCUGUGGAACUUGAGGCCAUUGUUACUCUGUCUCUAAAGGUAGGAUACCUGUGUCCCACUGUUUGCAUUGUAUAGGCUAGCAUAUUACUUUAACAUUACAGUAAUGUUGUUUUGUUAUAGUUGUGGUCUGCUUUUUUUGUGUUUUGGCCUGUAUGUAUAGCCUACACCCAGAAUAGGCCUGUGUUACUGUGUCCUGUUUGUACAAUAUUUCUAAUUAGUCUUCCACUGGGAGGCAGGGAUGUAGGCAUGGGUGAACACAGACCCUGGCAAGGCC
ensembl:lncRNA